rnacentral:tRNA from 1 species
GGGACUAUAGUUAACAAUAACAUUUGAUUUGCACUCAAAAAGUACUACCCACCGUAGUUAGCCUCA